GAACUAUCGGCAGGGGAGAUGCCAUAAUCAGGAAGGUGGUUUUCCCAGGGUAAGGCUCAUGCCUUGCACUCUGGGUGUGCUGACCCCUGCGAUUUCCCCAAAUGCGGGAAACUUGACUGCAUAAUUCGUGGUAGUGGGGAACUAUGUUCACACUCUCCUAAU
rfam:Struthio camelus australis contig53066, whole genome shotgun sequence.